rnacentral:lncRNA from 1 species
CUUGGAUCGGUCUCCGACGAUGUCUUUAAACUAUCUGGGUUGUCGGCUUGGUAAACAGCUAUAGUUACCUUAUGCUCAUAGCGAGACAGUGUCUCAACAUCCUUUCAACCUUGUUCACUUUGAUGUCUGGGGUCCAUCUCAUUUCGCCUCGAAAGGAGGUCAUCGCUACUACUAUAUUUAUAGAUGACUUCUCUCAACAUACCUGGAUAUACUUUAUUUCCUCUCGUAGGGAGGUCUUAUCUGUGUAAGCGUUUUGCUUCCAUGGUUCACACCAAGUUCUCUACGCCUAUUCUUGUAUAUUGUGAUGACUCUGGUCGAGAAUAAAUAUCCAAGAUGUUGCGUUCAAUCCUUGUUGUGGAGGGUGGUCUUGCUCGGUUCUCUUAUCCUGGUGCUCAUACUCAGAAAUGGCAUGGCUGAGGGCAAGCAUCAUCAACUAUUGAGACGACUCGUAGGUUCAAUGUCACUGCUCUCUCUUCCGUCACACGUUUGGAUGGUCACUACCUCACUUACGCCACACUUUUGGGUUGAAUGUGUCUCCACUUCCACCAUGGUCAUCUCCUUUCGAGAGUCUAUUUGAUCGUUUCCAUAUUAUUCAGCGCUUCAAUUGUUUGGUUGUGUUUGAUGUGCCCUUACUGCCUGUCAUGAAUGUACCAAACUUACUACUUAGUCUGUUGAGUGUUCAUAGGAUACAACGAUGAGCAUAAGAGAUAAUGUUGUUAGGAUCAUGUUGGUCAUCGGGUGACUAUUUAUCAUGGUAUGACUU